rnacentral:misc_RNA from 1 species
AAAAAAAAAAAAAAAAAGAACCCAUUAAUUCUUUGUAACUUGUUGGCUUUUUACUGUUUGAAUAAUUUCAUUCUCUGUAAUUACUUGUUAAUUUCAGUUUAAAGCAGGAUUAAGUGCUUAAUCAAAUAACAUAGUUUAUUAGGGUCCUACACGACGAAAUUGAAAGAUGUAUGUGGAUAAGGUGGAUGAAUGACGGCGGAUGGAUAAGAAGAAGAAAAAGAAAACGAUAGAAGAU